rnacentral:misc_RNA from 1 species
GAUGAAGAACGUAGCGAAAUGCGAUAAGUAAUGUGAAUUGCAGAAUUCAGUAAAUCAUCGAAUCUUUGAACGCACAUUGCGCCCCCUGGAAUUCCGGGGGGCAUGCCUGUUCGAGCGUCUCAGGGACGAACCCUCGCGCGGGUGUACGCGCGGUCGUGGCUGCGGUGGCGUGCCCGAGGCGGCGGCCACCGCGCUGGAAUCCAUGGGCGGACGCCUGCCGCGUGGCCGAGCGUGAUAUGACGCAUUGGCGCUCGCACGCGGCGAGGCUGCCAGCCCUGGCCCGUCUGUCGGGCGGGGGAGAGCAAGACACGUGAACUCCUCGAAUCAGGUAGGGAUACCCGCUGAACUUAAGCAUAUCAAUAAGCGGAGGA